CCCACCCCGGCCGGCCGCGCGCCCUCAGCUUAGUGGAGGCCGCGCUGUUAUCCUUUAGGUUUACUCACUUGUGGAACGAAACAGGUUUAUCCUUAUCAUAUCGGUUCUUGCAGCCGUAGGCAGAACAGGACUGCACCAUCCUUGUGGGGUCUCAGUCACUUCGCUUCUGCCGCCCUAGAAGGCAGCGGAAGAACCACAGCCAUCACCCGUCUCCCAUCUCCAAGAUGGCGGAGGCAGCUUCAACCUCACCUCUCGCGAGAUGUUUUUCACCGUCUCUGAUUAGCCCAGAGGUCAGAGGGAGACCUUCGGGGCGAGUAUUUCAGCACGGAAAGCAGAUGGUCAUGUGCUGCAAGGAGGCAGCACUCCGGAAGGUUCUUCAUGGCCGUGAAAUUGCUAGUGAUUUUCUGUUCAGUGAAACCGCCCGUGUACAGUCUGCUUCGCUGCCUCUCGUGUAGAUCCAGCCCUGAGAGUGGACUGGAAUAAUUACAUGGUCCUUGUACUGCAGUUUCUGCCCCCUUAAAUGUUGACGUUUCCCUCCAGGAUUCUUUUGCCCUUCUGGAAGUACUUUGUCCCUUGAACUCAAGCAAGUGCUAUGAUUUAAGUGUUUUACUUCCCACCUAAGUAUGUUCUUUUUUUCGCUUUGGUGGUUUUUUUGAGACAUGGUCUAGAUGUAUAGUGAAGGCAGACCUUGAGCUCGUUUAUGUAGCCCAGGCUGGCCUUGAACACAGGACGCUCCUCCCUCAGCUUCCUGAGGGCUGGGAUUACAGGGCUAUGCCACUGUGAUAGGUCAUAAGUAUAUUCUGACUUCUGAUUUUUUCAUCAACCGUCUAGACCGGAAGCCAUGGAAUCAUCUAACAUUUUUUUCUCACCCUUAAAACCCAUUAUGACUAGAUUACUUUAUAAUUAUAAAUAACUCUAUCCUUUUCAUCAGUAUUCUCACCAACCCUCACAGUUAGCUGGUAACAAAUAGAUGAGGUUAGAGAGGAACAAGGGGAGAGGAACAUGCAUGGCCUUAUAGGGCUCUGAAUUUACUUUUUGAGCUUUUCAAAAUGAUAAUAGGGGCCAGGAAUUUAGCUCAGUGGCUCAAGCAACUUGCCUGGUAAGUGCAUCAUCCUGAGUUCAAUCUCCAGUACUGGGGGGGAAAAAUGGAGAAUAGGGUUUUUGUGUAUAUAGUGCUGGAGAUCAAACCCAGGGUCUUAAGUGUGCUAAGCAGGCACUCUUAAAACUGGCUUUUGAGAGAAGUAGCAUAAAUUUUAAAAUGAUCAUUCUCUGCAGGGUGUGGUUCUGUAUACCUCUAAUCCCAACAUUCAGGAAGCUCAGACAGGAUCAAGGCCGGUCUGGAAUACAUAUUGACACCCUGUCUCAAAAUACUGAAAAAUUAUCUGAUACCUGUAAAAUAUACUGUUACACAGUUGGAGGGCUGGCCAUCUGGUGUCUGUGGGAGUAACAAUGAAAGAAUCAGUGAUCUUGCCUUGUCCUGGUUUUGCUUUUGUUUCUUAAGCCAGUACUGCAGUGGGUAUUGUAUCUGGGAGUACAUUAGUGAAAGUUAUUUUGUAUAAACCUGAGUUCAUUGCAACCCCCCCCAUUGAAUUAUUUAGAGUAUUUGUUAGAAAUAAGAAGCUCUUGGAUAUCCACCAAGAGAGGAAGAAGUCCAACAUGCUUUCUCUGUGGUGACCUAAUAUAGGUAUGUGUGUGGGAGGUGGUGUUUCAAAAGUAGAGUUCAAAGAGUUCAAAAAGAGAAACUGGUUAUCUCUUGCUGUCUGAAAGUGAGGGAGGAGCUGUCUCUUUCCUGGGAGGAAAGAUCUGUUCUCUUAUUUUUUAAAACUUAUCCCUUUUUUGUGUUUUUUAUGUUUCUAAGCUUUACUGCUUGAUUAACCAGCUGCUUAAAUCAGCUCUUUUGGUUGCUGGAAUUAGCUCUGUUAUCUUACCUAUGAUAAGGCUGCUGACUAUGCAUAAUAACAUUACUAUAUUAGUGAAACUAACAGUUUCCUUCAUAGGGCUUAUAUUCUAGUGAGGGAAGGACGUAAAAAAAAAAGUACAAUAAAAUUGUGUUAAGGUGCCUGGAUAUAUCAGAAAUGCUGUCAGGGUGGACAGAUGGGGAGAAGUAUCACUAUCUACUUUUAACUAGAGUAGUUUAUGUGAGGAGUGAACUGAGGUAGAGGAGAAGAAAUGAAGUGGAAAAAAGAAACAAGGUUUGGGUUAAAUUCUUGCUCAGUUCUUUACAUACACGUUAAUCACUUAUGGAGUAUUUACAGCAGUAAUUUGUUAACCCUAAAUUUACUUAGCCUAUUUCAUUGCUUUACUAGAUAGGAUACCAAGAUACAGAAUACUGGAAGCAGUUUUCAGGAUUUGUAAGGCACAGCUCCAUAGCAUCAAUUCCAGACCUCCUGAAGCAAACAGUGUCUACAGGUCUCCAGCCAUUGUUUUAAAUCUGUAACCACUUUGGGUUUCAGGAAAAAGUGACUUGCAGAUUACACAUGAUACCACCUCCCCCAGAGAGGGGCAGCUGCUCCUUACGGGAACCAGGGUGCACCCUUCCCAAGCCACAAUCAUCUCAUGGGAACUAAUGGUCCUCAGGACACAUGGAUCCCUCCAGAGCUACAAAGCCAGAACUGAGAUGAUGACUGGCUAGACCCUGACCCACCACAGCGAAUUUAUAACGGCUUGCCUCUGUCCUUUGUGAGGUACCAGUCUUUAACUUCAUCAGUGAGCUCCUUCCAGUUGCUCAAGCUGGAGUUCUUUAUUCACCUCUUACUAACACAUCCUUAAAUUUUUUUCUGUGACAACAGUUCACAAACCUACUCCAUGGGGUGAUGGAACCAUUACCAUAAGAACUUGGAUGGAGUGAAUGAGCCAAUGAAGGUGAGGCCAUUCCAGACCCAGGGAAAUGUAUGGUAAGGCCAUGACUUGAGUCUGACAGUACCAGGUAUCAAAAGUUCCGUUUUCCAGGAACUGAAUAUGGUGAAAGUCCUGCGAGCACUGGGGAGGAGAGGAAGUGAACAUGUUAUUGCUGAGUUAUCAGGUGCAGCGAUUAGUAAUGAACCUUAGUCAGGGAGACCUGAUCCUGUACUUUUAAAAAAUUUUUUGUGGGCUUCAUACUUGCUAGGCAACUGCUCUGCCACUGAACUACAUCCCCAGCCCCUCUUAUAAAACAGUUUUAGCUACAGAGAUGAUUUGAAGAGUAACAGAGUGCAGCUGGGUAGUUAAAUUAUGAGGCUGUUGCAAAUAAGAGAUGAUAGCAGCUUGGACCCAUGUGGGAGCAGAGGGAGUGGUGGGAUUUCAGAUACACUGCAGCCAUAGAAAUGCUCAGCAAUGGUUAUGUGAGUUAGGGGCAUAGGAGUCUAGCUGUCAAGAGUGACUUGAGUUUGAACUUCCAGCUUCAAUGUCUGGUUCGAGCAUGUACAUGGAUGAUGAGGUAAAGGCCAUUACUGAGUUGCAAAUGACCUAAAAGAGAAAAAGGCUACUUUCCCCCACAAAAUAAAGCAUUUGCAAGGGGAAUAACGACGUAGGGAACUGGUAAUUAUGUAGUUGUAGGACUGCAGAAAGUCUGGUGAGAGUGUAAAGUAGGAAGAGGCUGAGAAUACAAACUCCUGAAGCAGCAGCAGAUCAUCAACCAGUACGGAAUGUGGAUUUCUAAAUCACUAACCUAAAGUGAAACCAGCCAAUUCUGUUGUUCCAUGGCUGGAUUUCCCUCGGCCAAGUUCUUUGCUUCCUUCUCUUCUUUCCCAUUCUCAUUCCCUUUUUUGGGUUGGGUAGUGAACUUUUAACCCAGGACCUUUGCACCUACCACACCUACCUCUUUAUUUUAUAUCCUGAAUUUGCAAAACUUCUGGAAUGUUGCCCAGGCUGGGUUCCAAUGUGUGAUCUGUUUGCGUCAGCCUCCCAGAGCGCUAGGAUUACAGGCGUGCUCACCAUGCCUGGCUUUGGUGUAUUUUUGAUACAGCAUUCAUGCUCCCUGGACCUUGUUCUGUACUGGCUGCUGCUGCCUGAACUGUUCCUUACCAACAUUUGAUACAUUAAUAGUUUUUUUCCUUUUUUUUUUGGACUGGGUUCAAACUCAUGACCUUGUGCUUGCCAGGCAAGCACUUAUGCCUCUGAGCUAAAUUCCCGGCCCCCAUUAACAGUUUUUGAGAAAGCUUAGAUGCAUUCCAUUUGCUAUGACCACCUUUGUGUAGCUUUAACAGAAUCCUUUCCUCCUCCCUUGGAGUGUGGCAAGCCUGUCUUGGUGCUACUCAGGUUUUGCCUCUUCCCUUAGCCCCUAAUAAACUGCACUUUGUGUA